GUGCAAAACCCUAAUCAGUGGCGGCUGUGCCUCUAAAACCCUAAUCAGUGGCUGCAUGUACAUCUAUAAGCUGUCUGUGUUAUAGCUCUGGCGGUGCCUCCCAAUGGCAGGCGUUACGAGUAAGGAGCGAAAACUCCUUUAUCGCUUUGUUACUUGGACCUACAUUUGAACAUCUCCCUCUAUGUGGAUUCAAUAUUUAGAGGAUUCAUCAUUGUCUAAAUACUAAAUGAUGAAUCCUCUAAUACUAAAUCCAACUUAGUGGUUUAGCAUAGGGUAUAGAGGAGCUUUGAGUCUCUGUAUAAUGUGUUUGGUUUACAACGAAGCUCACGGAAUCGGACGGAUACUGCGCCGUCAUAUGUCUCCAACAGAACUGGGUAUUGGUGUUAAAUUGAAGAGUCGAGGUUACUCUGAAAGCUAGCAGGUCCAUGUCUCAGCUUGACUCAGUAUUAUGAUUCACUAUCCGAGGGCAUGCGACUGAGUGUUAGAUUGCAUCAGAAGCAUGAAAUGUACUAUAUGAUCUGUAGAUGGUAGAAUAGAAGAUUCUUUAUGGCAUCAACUCACGCUGGGAAGGGUAACGUGUUUCACAAGACCUCCAUUGCCUAGCAGUACAUGACACAUCUCUAAUCUCUGUAUAAUUUUAUUCUGUAACUAUGUUUACAUUUAUUCUGCAAUUAGGUUUACAUGUGAACAGAACAGUGCAAAUAGGAAAAAGGAAUUCAGAGAGUUCUCAUAUUCUCUUUGUGACAUUAUUCAUGAGUGGUGCUGAAAUUAAGUAUUUCAUCUUGUGUUGAAUUAAAACAAGGAAAUAUGACUCAUUGCCUUUA